UACGAAGGGGGCUAGCGUUGCUCGGAAUCACUGGGUGUAAGGGUGACGGUAGGCGGGUUUUAAGGUUCAGAGGUGAAAUCCUAGGAGCUACAACUCCAGAACCUGCCUUUCUGAUACUGGAGAAUCUUUGAGUUCGGGGAGAGGGUGAGUGGAACUGCGAGUGUAGAGGUGAAAAUUCGUAGAUAUUCGCAAGAACACCAGUGGCGAAGGCGGCUCACUGGCCCCGAUACUGACGCUGAGGCACGAAAAGCGUGGGGGAGCAAACAGG
rnacentral:rRNA from 1 species